CCUACGGGUGGCAGCAGUGGGGAAUAUUGCACAAUGGGGGGAACCCUGAUGCAGCGACGCCGCGUGAGUGAAGAAGUUUUUCGGUAUGUAAAGCUCUAUCAGCAGGGAAGAAAUAAACUCCUUCGGACUUUGGACGGUACCUGACUAAGAAGCCCCGGCUAACUACGGGCCAGCAGCCGCCGUAAUACGUGGGGGGCAACCGGUAUCCGGAUUUUCUGGGUGUAAAGGGUGCCGAGGCGGCAGGGCAAGGCUGGAGGGAAAUCCCAUGGCUUAACCAUGGAACUGCUGUGGAAACUGGGCGGCUAGAGUGGAGGAGAGGUAAGCGGAAUUCCUAGUGUAGCGGUGAAAUGCGUAGAUAUUAGGAGGAACACCGGUGGCGAAGGCGGCUUACUGGACGGUAACUGACGUUGAGGCUCGAAAGCGUGGGGAGCGAACAGGAUUAGAUACCCGGGUAGUC
rnacentral:rRNA from 1 species